rnacentral:rRNA from 1 species
GAGUUUGAUCAUGGCUCAGGAUGAACGCUAGCGGCAGGCCUAACACAUGCAAGUCGUACGGUAACAGGGAAAAGCUUGCUUUUCCGCUGACGAGUGGCGCACGGGUGCGCAACGCGUAUAGAACCUACCCUGUACAGGGGUUAUAAAUCAUGGAAACGUGGAUUAAUACCCCGUGGAGACAUUGAUUGGCAUCGAUUGAUGUUUAAAGUUUCGGCGGUACGGGAUGGCUAUGCGUCCCAUUAGUUAGUAGGUGAGGUAACGGCUCACCUAGGCGAUGAUGGGUAGGGGCCCUGAGAGGGGGAUCCCCCACACUGGUACUGAGACACGGACCAGACUCCUACGGGAGGCAGCAGUGAGGAAUAUUGGACAAUGGGCGGAAGCCUGAUCCAGCCAUGCCGCGUGCAGGAAGACAGCCCUACGGGUUGUAAACUGCUUUUAUACGGGAAGAAUAAGGGGUACGUGUACCCCGAUGACGGUACCGUAAGAAUAAGGACCGGCUAACUCCGUGCCAGCAGCCGCGGUAAUACGGAGGGUCCAAGCGUUAUCCGGAAUCAUUGGGUUUAAAGGGUCCGCAGGCGGGCAAUUAAGUCAGGGGUGAAAUGGUGCGGCUCAACCGUAGCACUGCCCUUGAUACUGGUUGUCUUGAGUUAUGGUGAAGUGGCCCGGAAUAUGUAGUGUAGCGGUGAAAUGCAUAGAUAUUACAUAGAACACCGAUCGCGAAGGCAGUCACUAACCAUUACUGACGCUGAUGACGAAGCGUGGGGGAGCGAAACGGGAUUAGAUACCCCGGUUAGUCCCACCGCCCGUAAAAC